AUUAUUAGCUGCUUAGCAACAGCUCACUAAAGUGGAGGGACCACCCAGGCGGACGGACCUCAUGUGAGCAUCUCCGACCUCGGGGGAAGGCUCGUCGAGGGCCGAGCCCGCUCGGCGCGGCGCGUCGCGUGCUCCGCGUCGCUCCGGAGAAGUCGGUGGACGGAGGGAGCGCGAGGCCGAGAACACGCUGUCGGAGGGAAAGGCGAGGAAAGUUAGGACUACGCGCGCGCUUCUCUGCGCGUGUGUGCGUGCGUGUGCGUGUGUGUUGUUUUCGCCCAACACUCCUCUUGCGUGAGCCUCAAAUUACGGCGGUUCAAGGGGAGGUCCUCCGGUUGGGUGUCACUGCUACAAUUAGAUCGGAAAUUACAAACGCAUUGUGAUUAAGUAUAAAUGUGGCAUUAACUCUUGUAUUUUGUUGUUUAUAAUUUUGGUAAAUUUUAAAUAAUGAUAUAAAUUAUAAAAUAUAAUUACAUAUGCUGAAUGCUAUUAUCAUAAAUUAUUAUUGGGUGGCAAAAUAUAGCAAAAAAAUAGCAAUACUAAAUACUCAUUAUUGUACUUUUAUUGCAACGUCCUGACGUGUAUAAUGGAGGCUCAAAUGAGGCACCACUGUGUAUUCUUAUUAAAAAACUACUGCUUCCAUAUAUAUAAAAAUGAUUUUCAGAUCAUUCUCAAACAUUCAUCCUACAACUUUAACUGCUUCUUUUUAAAACGGCAGUGGUGGCAAGGACUCAAGCAGGAACUGGAGGUAAUGAUCCGCUGAUGGACCAGAGCAUCAGCCCAUCAGUGCCCGGAUUGUCACCUGAUCAGUAGUUACGCACAUGCAAAGCAAAAGACAGCGGCUGCUCAAAUGCACACAGACAUGAAGUUUUAAACAACUGCAUAUACGCUUGUUGACGGCAAGUCUGAAGUUCUAUCUGCACCAGCGAGAGCACAAGCGCUCCAUGUGGUGGGAUGUGCUGCUGUGAUAAAUCUCCUGAAUGGCGCAUGGCUGGGUUUAGUGCAGACGACCAAAGCAGCAACGAGACCAUUCGCUUGUGUGUGAGUCAAAACCAGCUCCCACGGUGGAGCAAAGUGAGACUGUGAUGCCCCCUAAUGCCCUGAACAGAACCAGGCCCGUCUCCGCGGAUCACGCCGUUAAAGCGAGCGCGAGUCCAAAGCCCGACGUCACAUGUGAGCUAGACAGUCAGGCUGUUGAUGAUGGUAACGCUGUAGGAGCCCAUUAAAGUGCCCCGGGUCAUUGUGGAAAAUGGUCCUCUACUUCCAAUACUGUAGUGCAGCGGCUGUAAAGAUAUGCCAGUAAAAAGCUCGGGGAGAUUAUAUUGCAAGCAUCUGUGUGAACUAAUGAAAUACGUAUGCGCAUAAAAUGCCAUAACACCCUUGACCAAACAUGAGCAUAUUUCCUCCUUUUCAUUUACCAUAAUGUGUUAAUAUGGAUCAGAUGAUGCUCUGUAAUUGUGUGCGUUCGGUGUGAUAGCGCUCCUUUUUUUGGUGGGAUUCCCGGCCUUUUCUCGUGAGCAGCGAGGGCAGUGGGUUUAUUUCCUGCACGCAUCUGUCCUGUUGUUGUCAACACCUUUGCUCCUUUGGAUGCAAUGCACCUCGUAAUAAUAAAAUAAGCAGGACUAUUGCUGGUUUGAUUUUUUUUUUUAAUCAUAAAUUUGUGAGAAAUUUGUAGGAAAAGGAUGAAUUCAUGCCUUCGGCGACUCUUUGCACAUCAACAAACAGCUGUUACGUCCACUUUAUCAGUUCGUACCUCACGUUUUUAUGUCAUCCUCUUCUAGAUCCACAUGGAGGAAAUGAGAUGAAGCACACAUAGAACUGGAGGAAUUGGGCUGAGAUCCCAGAAUUGCUUCAUCAACCGCCUUCUUUAACCCCUGGCAGCACCGUUCACAAGCCUCAAGGCUGGUGGCUGGACAGGGGCCAGCAGGAAAAGCCUUGUUUACUCUGAGGUUGGACACAAUCAACGUCCGCCCCGAACGGAACCAAACCAACCUGUCUCCGCGUCAUCCCCGUCCAGCGGGGCACCGCCAUCGAGGACUGUUCGCUUUCUGCACAUGGCGUGACCACACAUGGAAAACGAUCAUGUCACGACAAGGUCUGAUUGCCAGAGACUCCUCGUGUGCCUCUCUGAAUUAUCCUGUGUCAAAUAAAUUCAUUUUAAGCUCA